GAUCGUGUUUAUAAAAUCUCAUCUAUACACGAAUUGACUAGCAUUUUCUUUUGGCCCUGUUGACAAAGUUCUUCAAAAUAAUAUUCUCAUUACGAUGCAGAGUGACGGUGUGAAAAGAGAUUCUGACGUAGAGUAUGUCAAACGUUGGUCUCCAACAAAAGGAAUGCUACAUGAGGAGCUGCCAGAGGACCACAUCCUCAAGGUCAUCGUCAAGCUCUAACCGAGGUGGUGGAUCAUUCUGCCAUGAACAAAAUGAAUUCCUCCAAUCUUGCCAUUGUGUUUGGACCAAAUCUGUUAUGGCCAAAGGGACAAGCCUCUCUGUCCAGCAUGGGAUACCUCAAUAAUUUUGCUCGACUUCUUAUUGACAACUACAGUGAACUGUUUGACAGAUAGCAGGUCAUGACCUUUAGCUGGUACUCUGAUAAACUGGUUCCUGCCUACACACUGACACAAUACAAUUGUCCUCUGGUAACCAGUUCUUGUAAAAAUUUUGGCGCCAAGAAGUCAUUUUCAGUUUGAAUAUUUAGAAAAAUUACACCUUUCUUACGAGGACUACUACCUAGGAGGCAGCUAAGUGUUUUAAUCAGUUCUGUAAUCGUUUCAAUCUUUUUCGUUCUUUGUGUAAAUUAUAGUAUGUGUCCUCAUUAGGUUUAUAUCAAAUAAAUAAUGUCUGCAGAAUUAGGUCAUUUAUUUGAACUAGUCAAGAGGGGGAUUUAGAACAAUACAUGCACAUGUACUUUGUAAACAGUGAGUGUGGAGACAUAAAAUAACAGAUUUCUUUGAGUACAGUUCAUAAUGUGUCUUGCUAAAAAUUGAACUUUGCUUUCAACUAAAAUGUUUCUUUGAAGAAAUGACUCAUUGAAUGUUUUGUUAUGCAUAUUUAUAAUUAUUAUAUGAUUCCAUAUUGUUAUGUUUGAUAUCUGUGUAUACAUGGUAUAUACAAUUAGUGUUAUUUAUAACUGGGAUGUACAUAGAGGUGUGUAGUAUGUAGUAGUUCUUCCAGGAGCAGGUCUAAGUAGGGAUAGAAAAAUCCACAACAAGUUUUAUAUGAAUGAAAUACUCCAGUCUGACAAUUAUUACAUAUAAAAGAAUGAGUGUUUAGUUUUCAUUCACAGUCCUUUCUGAAAAAAUUACCGUGCUGUUGAUCAGCCUCAAAGGUACACGCCUAUGAAAAUGGCAGAUAUUGUCUUGAUGA